CUUGAGGUAACCAAAUUCUCUCUACGAUGAUUUCUAAUGGUCACAUCAGUGAGUGGACGCAGCAGGGCUGGCGAAAUAUCCUAGACCAAGUGUACAGCUGUAAAAGCUGAUGGUGUGUCCUUCGCGGCCUAUUGUGACCUCGUCGGGUCUUGUGUCAUCAAUUAAGUAAAUAGUCAGCUGUUGACAAAGAACUUUGUGUUGAACAGCUGAUAUAGGCGAAGAAACGUAAGCUGUCCGUACAUCAAGGCAACGCUUGACCCGACAGCGUACGAAUCACGGUGCAUAAAUGCACGAAUUAUCAUCGAAGGCUUUUUGAACCUGAUUCGUAACAUUGCGAUGCCUAAAGUCUGCUCGACAGAAGAUCAACUGUUUCCUGGCUGAAACAGUAGCCAAAAACUUUUGCGGUUCAAGAACGCAAUAUUAAGGCCCUCAAUGGAUUUCGUAACCACCUCGCACUGUUCGUCUUCACUCGUUGAAAACUUCAGGUUCAUAGAAAGAACUUCAGGAAAAAAGGUUCAUAGAAAGCUACGUUUAAGACUUCAGGUGGUUCGACUGCGGACUACUGGUGGCUAUCAGGAACCAUCAACCAGCCUUUGCUGCGGACGCUCGCGGUGACUCUAUUUUGACGCGCUAUCAAAUGAGCCUUGAACAGGACAAUCUUUGUGGUGAAACCCGGACAACAUGGAGCGACUUUUCAAUUAUUUUACUCGAAUCCCGAAAGAUAACGAGAGGCAUUACAAAGUGAUAUGAAAUACGGCGAUAGAUCGGUUAGUGUAUUUGCUCAUUUAGUCAACCUUAUUCAU